GAUAGCCCCGUGCACGACACCUCUUUCUUAGAUAGCGGUAUCCCGAGUAGGGCGGGACACGAGAAAUCCUGCCUGAAUUCGCCAGGACCUCCUGGCAAGGCUAAAUACUCCCGAGAGACCGAUAGUGAACCAGUACCGCGAGGGAAAGGUGAAAAGUACCCCGAGCAGGGGGGUGAAAUAGACCCUGAACCCGCGCGCCUACAAGCGGUCGGAGCCGAGUAAUUCGGUGACGGCGUGCCUUUUGCAUAAUGAGCCUACGAGUUAGUCGUCACCAGCGAGGUUAAGGGCUUCAGGCCCGUCAGCCGAAGUGAAAGCGAGCCUUAACAGGGCGUGAAGUUGGUGGCGCUAGACGCGAAACCUUGUGAUCUACCCACGAGCAGGUUGAAGUCGCGGUAACACGUGAUGGAGGACCGAACCGGUAAACGUUGAAAAGUUUUCGGAUGACUCGCGGGUAGGGGUGAAAGGCCAAUCAAACUGGGAAAUAGCUCGUACUCUCCGAAAUGCAUUUCGGUGCAGCCUGUGAUGUUCUGUUCCAGAGGUAGAGCUACUGGUUGGACGCGAGGGCUUCACCGCCUAUCAAAUCCGGAUAAACUCCGAAUGCUGGAACACGAAAUCAUGGAGUGAGCCCGCGGGUGCUAAGGUCCGCGGACGAGAGGGAAAGAACCCGGACCACCGGCUAAGGUCCCGGAUGGACAGUUAAGUUGAUCAAACGAGGUGGGAUCGCGGAGACAGCUAGGAUGUUGGCUUGGAAGCAGCCAUUCAUUUAAAGAGUGCGUAACAGCUCACUAGUCGAGCGAUCCCGCGUGGAUAAUACACGGGCAUCAAACUGUCAACCGAAGCCGUGGGGUUAGCUUGAUGGCUAACCGGUAGGAGAGCAUUCCUGCCAGCUUUGAAGGUCACCCGCGAGAGUGACUGGAGCGGCAUGAAAAGCAAAUGUAGGCAUAAGUAACGAUAAUGGGGGCGAGAACCCCCCACGCCGCAAGACCAAGGAUUCCCCGGCAAUGUCAAUCAGCCGGGGGUCAGCCGGCCUCUAAGGCUCACCCGAAAGGGGAUGCCGACGAGAAACGGGUUAACAUUCCCGUGCUUCUCGUCACCGUGACGCGGUGACGGGGUGAUGAAUGGACCGCGCGCUGACGGAAUAGCGCGUUGAAGGCCGUACCCUGUGACGGUGGUAGUCAAGCACGCCACCGGAGGCGACAGCCGAUAGUACCUCGAGGCCUCGGCCGAGGGGAUAGCGUCCAGGCAAUUAACCCCCUAGAAAACCCGCUAAACUUCAAGUGACGAGGAACCGUACCGUAAACGGACACACGUGGUCGGGUAGAACAUACCAAGGCGCUCGAGUGAUUCAUGGUCAAGGAACUAGGCAAAAUAGUCCUGUAACUUAGGGAAAAAGGACGCUCUAGUGAUAGAGCCGCAGAGUAAUGGCCCAGGCGACUGUUUACCAAAAACACAUGGCUAUGCCAAAUCGAAAGAUGACGUAUAUGGCCUGACACCUGCCCGGUGCCGGAAGGUUAAGAGGAGAGCUCAUCAGUAAUGAGAAGGUUUGAAUUGAAGCCCCGGUAAACGGCGGCCGUAACUAUAACGGUCCUAAGGUAGCGAAAUUCCUUGUCGGGU
rnacentral:rRNA from 1 species